UGGGGAAUUUUGGACAAUGGGGGAAACCCUGAUCCAGCCAUUCCGCGUGAGUGAAGAAGGCCUUCGGGUUGUAAAGCUCUUUCAGCAGGAACGAAACGGUAAGCUUUAAUAAAGUUUGCUAAUGACGGUACCUGAAGAAGAAGCACCGGCUAACUACGUG
rnacentral:rRNA from 1 species